rnacentral:rRNA from 1 species
AUCACGAGGGCUUAACUGUCUCCCCUCCCCANUCNAUGAAAUUGAUCUCCCCGUGCAGAAGCGGGGAUAAUACCAUAAGACGAGAAGACCCUAUGGAGCUUUAGACGUCAGAGCAGCCCAUGUAAAGCACCCCUUAACAAAGGAAAAAACCAAAUGAAGCCUGCCCUAAUGUCUUUGGUUGGGGCGACCGCGGGGAAAUACAAAACCCCCAUGUGGAGUAGGAAUACACAUUCCUAAACCCAAGAGCUCCCGCUCUAAUGAACAGAAAUUCUGACCAAUAAGAUCCGGCACACGCCGAUCAACGGACCGAGUUACCCUAGGGAUAACAGCGCAAUCCCCUUAAAGAGCCCUUAUCGACAAGGGGGUUUACGACCUCGAUGUUGGAUCAGGACAUCCUAAUGGUGCAGCCGCUAUUAAGGGUUCGUUUGUUCAACGA